CCUCUCGCGUUUUCUUUUUUUUUCUUUGUCACAGCGCUGGGGAGGGGAGCAAGCUCCAUGCGUCAGUUCCCGCCAAAUUGUAGCUCUUUCGAGCGAGGACGUGCGGUGCUGAAACACUGCACAGAGACGGGCAAGCACUCAGAGGCAUUUCGUUUGCCUUGAUCCUGGAGGCGGCCUUCUCCCAUUGCCGAGGAUUUGAAGCGAACUCCUGGCAGAUCAGAAAUGUUCAGGCGAACGGCGGUUAUAUUUGUCCGUGGACCCAAAACUUCGUUGACGGGCAAAUAUGUCAGAUUUUCUUGUUUUUUAUUUGUGGCAUCUUAUUGUAAGACCGUGACAUAUUUUGCCGUUUUCUCUAGGGAACCCUGCAACAAGGACUGUAGUGUGAAUAGCGUGCUGCGCUGCUCUCGCCAACUGAAAAGAACUCUGGUGUGCUGUAAAUGCCGACUGCACAAUAUGUGACUGGCCCGCGGCUGCUUUGAAGUCUGUGCGCUGUGGAGCUUGAAGCACUUCUCGGAAUUUCAGCACACUCGCAUUUAUUUUUUUCCCGACAGAAGAAAAAUGCAAGUCUAACAUCUCGACGGUAAAACGUCGCAUCUGCGCACAGGGCCAAGAGCACGAGAAGUGGCCGAAAGAAGGGAGCCGAUC